rnacentral:rRNA from 1 species
UGGGGAAUAUUGCACAAUGGGGGAAACCCUGAUGCAGCGACGCCGCGUGAGCGAAGAAGUAUUUCGGUAUGUAAAGCUCUAUCAGCAGGGAAGAAGAAAUGACGGUACCUGACUAAGAAGCACCGGCUAAAUACGUGCCAGCAGCCGCGGUAAUACGUAUGGUGCAAGCGUUAUCCGGAUUUACUGGGUGUAAAGGGAGCGCAGGCGGUACGGCAAGUCUGAUGUGAAAGCCCGGGGCUCAACCCCGGUACUGCAUUGGAAACUGCCGGACUAGAGUGUCGGAGGGGUAAGUGGAAUUCCUAGUGUAGCGGUGAAAUGCGUAGAUAUUAGGAGGAACACCAGUGGCGAAGGCGGCUUACUGGACGAUGACUGACGCUGAGGCUCGAAAGCGUGGGGAGCAAACAGG